rnacentral:rRNA from 1 species
GGUUAAGCGACUAAGCGUACACGGUGGAUGCCCUGGCAGUCAGAGGCGAUGAAGGACGUGCUAAUCUGCGAAAAGCGUCGGUAAGGUGAUAUGAACCGUUAUAACCGGCGAUGUCCGAAUGGGGAAACCCAGUGCAAUUCGUUGCACUAUCGUUAACUGAAUACAUAGGUUAACGAGGCGAACCGGGGGAACUGAAACAUCUAAGUACCCCGAGGAAAAGAAAUCAACCGAGAUUCCCCCAGUAGCGGCGAGCGAACGGGGAGCAGCCCAGAGUCUGAAUCAGCUUGUGUGUUAGUGGAACGGUCUGGAAAGUCCGACGGUACAGGGUGAUAGUCCCGUACACCAAAAUGCACAGGUUGUGAACUCGAAGAGUAGGGCGGGACACGUGGUAUCCUGUCUGAAUAUGGGGGGACCAUCCUCCAAGGCUAAAUACUCCUGACUGACCGAUAGUGAACCAGUACCGUGAGGGAAAGGCGAAAAGAACCCCGGCGAGGGGAGUGAAAAAGAACCUGAAACCGUGUACGUACAAGCAGUGGGAGCACCUUCGGGUGUGACUGCGUACCUUUUGUAUAAUGGGUCAGCGACUUAUAUUCUGUAGCAAGGUUAACCGUAUAGGGGAGCCGCAGGGAAACCGAGUCUUAACUGGGCGUUAAGUUGCAGGGUAUAGACCCGAAACCCGGUGAUCUAGCCAUGGGCAGGUUGAAGGUUGGGUAACACUAACUGGAGGACCGAACCGACUAAUGUUGAAAAAUUAGCGGAUGACUUGUGGCUGGGGGUGAAAGGCCAAUCAAACCGGGAGAUAGCUGGUUCUCCCCGAAAGCUAUUUAGGUAGCGCCUCGUGAACUCAUCUUCGGGGGUAGAGCACUGUUUCGGCUAGGGGGGCAUCCCGACUUACCAACCCGAUGCAAACUACGAAUACCGAAGAAUGUUAUCACGGGAGACACACGGCGGGUGCUAACGUCCGUCGUGAAGAGGGAAACAACCCAGACCGCCAGCUAAGGUCCCAAAGUCAUGGUUAAGUGGGAAACGAUGUGGGAAGGCACAGACAGCCAGGAUGUUGGCUUAGAAGCAGCCAUCAUUUAAAGAAAGCGUAAUAGCUCACUGGUCGAGUCGGCCUGCGCGGAAGAUGUAACGGGGCUAAACCAUGCACCGAAGCUGCGGCAGCGACACUAUGUGUUGUUGGGUAGGGGAGCGUUCUGUAAGCCUGCGAAGGUGUGCUGUGAGGCAUGCUGGAGGUAUCAGAAGUGCGAAUGCUGACAUAAGUAACGAUAAAGCGGGUGAAAAGCCCGCUCGCCGGAAGACCAAGGGUUCCUGUCCAACGUUAAUCGGGGCAGGGUGAGUCGACCCCUAAGGCGAGGCCGAAAGGCGUAGUCGAUGGGAAACAGGUUAAUAUUCCUGUACUUGGUGUUACUGCGAAGGGGGACGGAGAAGGCUAUGUUAGCCGGGCGACGGUUGUCCCGGUUUAAGCAUGUAGGCUGGUUAUCCAGGCAAAUCCGGAUAAUCAAGGCUGAGGUGUGAUGACGAGGCACUACGGUGCUGAAGUAACAAAUGCCCUGCUUCCAGGAAAAGCCUCUAAGCAUCAGGUAACAUCAAAUCGUACCCCAAACCGACACAGGUGGUCAGGUAGAGAAUACCAAGGCGCUUGAGAGAACUCGGGUGAAGGAACUAGGCAAAAUGGUGCCGUAACUUCGGGAGAAGGCACGCUGGUGUGUAGGUGAAGUCCCUGCGGAUGGAGCUGAGACCAGUCGAAGAUACCAGCUGGCUGCAACUGUUUAUUAAAAACACAGCACUGUGCAAACACGAAAGUGGACGUAUACGGUGUGACGCCUGCCCGGUGCCGGAAGGUUAAUUGAUGGGGUUAUCCGUAAGGAGAAGCUCUUGAUCGAAGCCCCGGUAAACGGCGGCCGUAACUAUAACGGUCCUAAGGUAGCGAAAUUCCUUGUCGGGUAAGUUCCGACCUGCACGAAUGGCGUAAUGAUGGCCAGGCUGUCUCCACCCGAGACUCAGUGAAAUUGAACUCGCUGUGAAGAUGCAGUGUACCCGCGGCAAGACGGAAAGACCCCGUGAACCUUUACUAUAGCUUGACACUGAACAUUGAGCCUUGAUGUGUAGGAUAGGUGGGAGGCUUUGAAGCGUGGACGCCAGUCUGCGUGGAGCCAACCUUGAAAUACCACCCUUUAAUGUUUGAUGUUCUAACGUUGGCCCCUGACCGGGGUUGCGGACAGUGUCUGGUGGGUAGUUUGACUGGGGCGGUCUCCUCCCAAAGCGUAACGGAGGAGCACGAAGGUUAGCUAAUCCUGGUCGGACAUCAGGAGGUUAGUGCAAUGGCAUAAGCUAGCUUGACUGCGAGCGUGACGGCGCGAGCAGGUGCGAAAGCAGGUCAUAGUGAUCCGGUGGUUCUGAAUGGAAGGGCCAUCGCUCAACGGAUAAAAGGUACUCCGGGGAUAACAGGCUGAUACCGCCCAAGAGUUCAUAUCGACGGCGGUGUUUGGCACCUCGAUGUCGGCUCAUCACAUCCUGGGGCUGAAGUAGGUCCCAAGGGUAUGGCUGUUCGCCAUUUAAAGUGGUACGCGAGCUGGGUUUAGAACGUCGUGAGACAGUUCGGUCCCUAUCUGCCGUGGGCGCUGGAGAAUUGAGGGGGGCUGCUCCUAGUACGAGAGGACCGGAGUGGACGCAUCACUGGUGUUCGGGUUGUCAUGCCAAUGGCACUGCCCGGUAGCUAAAUGCGGAAGAGAUAAGUGCUGAAAGCAUCUAAGCACGAAACUUGCCCCGAGAUGAGUUCUCCCUGAGACUAUAAGUCUCCUGAAGGAACGUUAAAGACGAUGACGUUGAUAGGCCGGGUGUGUAAGCGCAGCGAUGCGUUGAGCUAACCGGUACUAAUGAACCGUGAGGCUUAACCUU